rnacentral:rRNA from 1 species
ACGGAAGGCAGCAGUGAGGAAUAUUGGUCAAUGGGCGGAAGCCUGGACCAGCCAAGUCGCGUGAAGGAUGAAGGUAUUAUGUAUUGUAAACUUCUUUAGACGUAGAGAAAUAAGAGGGUCGUGACCCUUGAUGCUAGUAUACGUAGAAUAAGGAUCGGCUAACUCCGUGCCAGCAGCCGCGGUAAUACGGAGGAUCCGGGCGUUAUCCGGAUUUAUUGGGUUUAAAGGGUGCGCAGGCGGUCUUUUAAGUCAGUGGUUAAAUCGUGGAGCUUAACUCCAUCCCGCCAUUGAUACUGGAGGACUUGAUUGCGGUUGAGGUUGGCGGAAUUCGCCGUGUAGCGGUGAAAUGCAUAGAUAUGGCGAAGAACUCCGAUUGCGUAGGCAGCUGACCAAGCCGUAAAUGACGCUCAUGCACGAAAGUGCGGGGAUCGAACAGGAUUAGAUACCCUGGUA